rnacentral:misc_RNA from 1 species
GACUGUGGAACUCUAUUUUCGCGGUAGGUAUAGCUUAAAUAUAUAGCUUAUAAUAAGAAUUUAUUGAUACUGGAAUUUAAUUCUUUGUUAAUAUAGUUAACAAGUUCUAAGAGAAGAUAAUAAGUAAGGAGGCUAAGUAGCUUUAACUAGAUAAUUAAUAAAGCAUGAAAGUGAUUUUUGUGGUUGUUAUCUGUUUGUCUGUGUGAUAGACAUAUGAUAGAGAGAAUCACUUUUUUUCUUGUCAACAGAAAUUAUCGAAC